UUAACCCACUGAGCCACCCAGAGAUGAAGUUAACAGAGAUUUGGCUCCAAACUGGCCUCCUGAUGCAGAUAUCAUACAGCAGUGAUUCGAGAACAUGCAUCUCUGGACCCUUGGGGCCUGUAUUUAUAUCCUGGCCUCUAGUUACUAGCCGUGCUAACUUGAGUUUAGAAAAGAGAUGAUACAAAAAUCACCCAUGAAAGCACAACUUCAGC